rnacentral:rRNA from 1 species
GAUGAACGCUGGCGGUAUGCUUAACACAUGCAAGUCGAACGAAAGUUUUUUAACUUUAGUGGCGAACGGGUGAGUAAUACGUGAGAAUCUGCCCUUAGGAGAAGAAUAACUGCUGGAAACGGCUGCUAAUACUUCAUAUGCCGAGAGGUAAAAAAGUUUUAACUGCCUAAGAGAUGAGCUCACGCCUGAUUAGCUUGUUGGUAAGGUAAUGGCUUACCAAGGCCACGAUCAGUAGCUGGUUUGAGAGAACGAUCAGCCACACUGGGACUGAGACACGGCCCAGACUCCUCCGGGAGGCAGCAGUGAGGAAUUUUCCGCAAUGGGCGAAAGCCUGACGGAGCAAUACCGCGUGAGGGAUGAAGGAUUUUGGUCUGUAAACCUCUUUUCUCAAGAAAGAAGUUCUGACGGUACUUGAGGAAUAAGCAUCGGCUAACUCCGUGCCAGCAGCCGCGGUAAUACGGGGGAUGCAAGCGUUAUCCGGAAUCAUUGGGCGUAAAGCGCCUGUAGGUUGUUUAUUAAGUCUGUUGUUAAAGCCUAGGGCUUAACCCUAGAGAAGCAGUGGAAACUGGUAGACUAGAGUAUGGCAGGGGUAGAGGGAAUUUCUAGUGUAGCGGUGAAAUGCGUAGAUAUUAGAAAGAACACCAGCGGCGAAGGCGCUCUACUGGACCAUCACUGACACUCAGAGGCGAAAGCUAGGGUAGCAAAAGGGAUUAGAUACCCCUGUAGUCCUAGCCGUAAACGAUGGAUACUAGAUGUUGUGUUUAUUUCACAGUGUCGCAGCUAACGCGUUAAGUAUCCCGCCUGGGGAGUACGCUCGCAAGGGUGAAACUCAAAGGAAUUGACGGGGGCCCGCACAAGCGGUGGAGCAUGUGGUUUAAUUCGAUGCAACGCGAAGAACCUUACCAGGGCUUGACAUACUACAGAUCUUUUUGAGAAAGAAGAGUGCCUUCGGGAAUGUAGAUACAGGUGGUGCAUGGCUGUCGUCAGCUCGUGUCGUGAGAUGUUGGGUUAAGUCCCGCAACGAGCGCAACCCUUAUUUUUAGUUACCAACUUGUUGGGUUCUCUAGAAAGACUGCCGGUGACAAACCGGAGGAAGGUGAGGAUGACGUCAAGUCAGCAUGCCCCUUAUGUCCUGGGCUACACACGUGCUACAAUGGCUAAGACAAAGAGUCGCGAGUUCGUGAGAACCAGCUAAUCUCGUAAACUUAGCCCAAGUUCAGAUUGUAGGCUGCAACUCGCCUACAUGAAGUUGGAAUCGCUAGUAAUCGCUGGUCAGCUAUACAGCGGUGAAUCCGUUCCCGGGCCU